rnacentral:rRNA from 1 species
GACAGAGGGUGCAAACGUUGUUCGGAAUGACUGGGCGUAAAGCGCGUGUAGGCGGCUCGGCAAGUCGGAUGUGAAAGCCCUGGGCUCAACCCAGGAAGUGCACUCGAAACUGCCGAGCUGGAGUCCCGGAGAGGAAGGCGGAAUUCUCGGUGUAGAGGUGAAAUUCGUAGAUAUCGAGAGGAACACCGGUGGCGAAGGCGGCCUUCUGGACGGCGACUGACGCUGAGACGCGAAAGCGUGGGGAGCAAACGGG